GUGGGGAAUCUUGCGCAAUGGGCGAAAGCCUGACGCAGCCAUGCCGCGUGAAUGAUGAAGGUCUUAGGAUUGUAAAAUUCUUUCACCGGGGACGAUAAUGACGGUACCCGGAGAAGAAGCCCCGGCUAACUUCGUGCCAGCAGCCGCGGUAAUACGAAGGGGGCUAGCGUUGCUCGGAAUUACUGGGCGUAAAGGGAGCGUAGGCGGAUAGUUUAGUCAGAGGUGAAAGCCCAGGGCUCAACCUUGGAAUUGCCUUUGAUACUGGCUAUCUGGAGUAUGGAAGAGGUAUGUGGAACUCCGAGUGUAGAGGUGAAAUUCGUAGAUAUUCGGAAGAACACCAGUGGCGAAGGCGACAUACUGGUCCAUUACUGACGCUGAGGCUCGAAAGCGUGGGGAGCAAACAGGAUUAGAAACCCUAGUAGUCC
rnacentral:rRNA from 1 species